ensembl:lncRNA
CUUGCGGCGUCAUUACGUUGACUACACAACAACGUUCCUCAAAUUAUGACAGAGGAAAAUGGGUUGUGGCAUUUAGAGGGAAAAUGCGUGCAUUAUAGCUUUGAGUUACUUUUCAAAAGUGGCUAAAAGUUCCAAAUACAUUUUUUUUAAAGGAGCUGAAUAUCGUAAGGAUAGUCUGAAAAGAUGCUACAGCUAGCAACAGAAUUGCUGGGUGUUCCAUUGGGCUAUAUUUGGCUAUAAUAUAGGGAGGUAAGAACAGUUGAAUCGUAAAAAGUUGUGGUUGUUUCCCGGGUAUUGAUUUUUGGUUAGGUAACGCCAGUGAAUUCGAACAAGAAGUUAACGUAUUCUAAACAUGAUCUGUUUUCAUUACGGGGAACAAUGAAAUGUCUACAAUAGGGUAUGGCUGGCUGGGGAAUGUUUUAUUUUAAAGGGACAGUGCACGUUUAUCACAAUUGUUUGAGUGUAAUGGCAGGGUAUAGAGUAUUUUGGGGCGACAAUUUGGAGAUAGACUGAAUGAGUUACAUGAAACAUUGAGGAAAUUUAAAACAAAUGAUUUGAAGGGAUUAUCAUAAUUAUUAGGUUUUGUUUUUGUAGUAAACGUUUGGGGGAUUUCCCUGUUCCCAGAGACAAGAUAUCUUAAAGGGGUACACUCACAUAUGGAAUAUUAGGAGUUUUAUUUUCUGAGUUUUAAUUAGACAAGUGAAUAAACAUGUUUAAAGGUAAAGGGUUCUUUAAUAUGGUAUGGAAAACGAAUGUAAAGGGGUGGUGAACCUUUGACCAAGCUGCCAUGGCUCUCCCAGUUGGUCUGAUCAGCCACAGGGGGGAGCCAUUUGAAUAAUGAAUUUGUAGUCAUGGGAGAUACUGGGUUUUUAAAGUAAAUUUAUUAUAAUGGAGUUUAUAGUACUGCAACAGGAACAGAAAUCAUAUUAAUCAUCGAUAAUAAAUGGGGGAGGAUGGUCCUUUGAGGUUUGGACAGGACACCGUUAUUAAGCCAAUAGGGCAGGAAAAUACAUGAUAGAAAGGCGAUUUUAUAAGCAUAAAAAUUAUUUCUGAAAAUAAGUUGCAGUUCUUAGGGAUGGUAAAUUACUGUAGAUAAGGUGUCAAACUCCUACUGAAGAUUCCCUUAUACCCGACUUUUCCCCAGCUGUGAGCGUUCAUAGAAGUGAAAGUGUGUCUUGGCCUCUUGCUGAUGAUAUGUUUUCCAGGAAAAGGGUGGGGCUUCAUCAGAGGGCUGUUUGUCUGAGCUGUCUUAUCGUGGGUGCCAUAUUCCUGAUACAGCACGUCCCACCUGAGUAUGAAGGAGAGUGGUAAUUUGACCCAUGGUUUAGACGAUGAGGAUUUUGUUCCAAAACAAGCAUAAGAGAUCCCUAGAUCUGGGUAGACAGUAAGUUAGAGGUUGGGAAGGAUGUCUCAAUGGAGUUCUAUGUAGACCAAAUGGGGUCUCUAACUACAUGGCAGUCUAGGACUCUGAGCCAUUAUGGUAUAUAUCAGUGCAGGUCCCAGCUCAUACAGAGAGAGAGGGUUAUAUGAAUCCACUCACCCAGUAUGGAAGGAGGUGGAGUAUAGUGAAGGUUCCCCUUAAAUCAAGACUUCCUCCCUUUACAGUGACCGGAGGAGAUUAUUACUGUUUGGCCCGGUACAGUACUCUUGGGAAAUAUGUAGGGGAAGUUAGUACCUGCAAUUGGACAGAGAAUAUUACCACUGAUGAGACCAUGUCUAAUUUGACAGGCUGGUUGAACUCUGGGGAUUUCAAUAAGGUAAAGUGGGCCAGGGCUAACAUCUGGAGGUUGUGUGGGGGAAUAAUGGACAGGAUUAUGCUCCCUUGUACAUUUGAGAAUGCCUUUCACACUCAUUCAACACCAAGACAUGAAGUUGGCCAAACGGGAGAAAAUAAGUACUCCAUCUGGUUCUUUUAACCAGAGAGUAGAUUUUGAUAACAUUGGGGUUCUACGGGGGAUACCAGACGAGUUCAAAGCAAGAAAUCAGAUCGUAGCAGGAUUAGAGUUAAGUAUUUUCUAGUGGUCCACACUCAAAUAAGAAUGUGAACUGGAUCAAUUAUAGUUAGGAUAAUCCACAGCGCUCCGUCAAUUAUACCAGAGAUGUAAUGAAUGAAUUGGCAGAAUAUAAUUCAUCUUGGAUAAGUUUGUUGGCUGGAAAGGGUGAGAGUGGGUGUAGAUGGUUUGUUCCUCGAUGGCACAGCUCCGGGCGAAUCAGUGACCAAAGCCUCAGCUGGUUUUACCACCCUGGCUCACGGUUUGGCAGAAAACUCUGGGGUGGAUAUUUCUUUGACUAAUUGGUUUGAUAGUAUGUUUGGAAAAUGGAAAACUGUUAUGAUCCCUGUAUUAUGGGUUACCUUCAUCGGUGUGGCUGUUUUAGUUUUAUGUGGCUGUUGUCUAAUUCCCUGUGUACGAGGCCUUAUUUCCAGGACUCUGGAGAAAUUGAUGACACAACAGAUGGUGAGGUACGGGCCGAUUCCAAGUUCUGACCCGUGGAGUGAUGAAUGCAUGUCUACAGAACAAGUAGACUAAUCUGGAUUCUUCAUAUGCGAGGAAUUUAUGUUUUUAUUUAGAGCAUUUUGAUAUUUAGAGAUGUUAGGUUGUAUCUUGUUUCGAUGAAGAUUGUAACAAAAAUUCUGAUGAGAAGAGUUAUGAUUCUGAUGUUGGCCUAAAAACAGUCAGUGUGAAUGCAAGUAUUGGGUUAUGUUUGGGUGAUAUUUUGAUAACAAGAAAUAUUUCUAAUAAAAAUAGAAGUAUGCUUUUUAAUAUUUUAAUAAAACUAGAUGUGUGAUUGGAUGUAUAAUAUUUAAUCUUAGGGUGGAUAUGUUAAGGGAUUUUUUAUCAAUAAUUACUAAUUAUGUAUACAUUUCAAUCAGGACUGACUAAUCAGAAUACUAUUAUGUUACUGUAUAGAUGUAUGAAUUUUCUUUUAAUCCUAGUACUGAAUAUAAUGUGUGUAAUUAUAAUCAAGAAGUAGAACAAUGACUGUCUGUUCCUUGGUAGAAAUGAAUGAAUUUAUCGUCAGACUGGCUAGAAUGCUUAUCUACACAGGCAGACCUUGGCUCGGGUCAUAAAUUAUCUAAGUUUGGGGGAGACGGUGUGGGAAGUCUUGAGAACUAUACAGCCAUUGUACUGGAGUGGAGAUGAGAUGGGGUAGUACGAAAACUAAUGACGACAUUUUCAGUUUAUAACCUGAGGUAAACUGUAUCAUGUUCAGUACUCUCAAG